AUGCACAAGUGCUGCGGGGAGGGAAGGGGGGCAGAGCUGAACUUCCCUCCCCAGAACCUGCAAGAGCUCGCAAACCCGUCCUGGCCCGGCUGGGGUGUCCUGCAGAUGCAGUGGUCCAUCCAAGCCCUCCAAGCCCCCCUCUCUGCGCCCCUCGCCCCAGCGCUUCGCACAGAGGUUGGGGGCAACAGGUCCUUGGAUGAACACCAGGCCCGUUGUCAAGACGACGAGGGACGCCGGGGGGGGGGGGAGAGAGAGAGAGAGAGAGAGAGAGAGAGACUGAGAGCUGCGCAUGCGCACACCCCGGGGCUGCCGGUGGCGCAUGCGCAAAGCCCGCUCCCCCUCCGCCCACCAUUUGGGCCGCUUCUCUCCUCCCGGGCCGCCAUUUUUGUCCGAGGCCCCGCCGGGGGCAGGAGGAGGCAGGAAGGGGUGGAGGGGGAAGGACGGACGGAGGGAAGGGCGGAGGCGUCGACGCCACCUCGCCAUCCCGCCCUCAUCCUUUCAUGCUUAAAACUCCCGGGGCCGAAAGGCGGGCGGAAGUCUUCUCCGGGCCGCCAUUUUGACAGCUGGGUCGGCCCGGGGCCGGACCCCGCCCUCGCCCUCCUGCGAUUGGCUCCUGCCGAUUCGACAGCGAGGCUCCUUCCGUCCCAUUGGUUGGGAGGGCCGUCAGUCAAGCGGGCCUCCUUGGGAAACGCCCAUUCACUCAUUCGAUCGCAUUUAAUAAUAGUAAUGGUAUUUGUUAAGCGCUUACUAUGUGCAGAGCACUGUACUAAGCGCUGGGGUAGGUACAGGGUCAUCAGGUUGUCCAACGUGGGGCUCACACUCUUCAUCCCUAUUUUAAUAAUAAUAAUAAUGUUGGUAUUUGUUAAGCGUUUACUACGUGCAGAGCACUGUUCUGAGCGCUGGGGGAGAUACAGGGGAAUCAGGUUGUCCCACGUGGGGCUCACAGGCUUAAUCCCCAUUUUAAUAAUAAUAAUGUUGGUAUUUGUUAAUCGCUUACUACGUGCAGAUUACUGUUCUAAGCGCUGGGGGAGAUACAGGGUCAUCAGGUUGUCCCACGUGGGGCUCACAGUCUUCACCCCCAUUUGA
rnacentral:lncRNA from 1 species